rnacentral:rRNA from 1 species
UACGUAGGUGGCAAGCGUUGUCCGGAUUUACUGGGCGUAAAGAGCGCGCAGGCGGCUGGUCAAGUCCGAUGUGAAAUCUCCCGGCUUAACUGGGAAACUGCAUCGGAAACUGAUCGGCUUGAAGGUGGGAGAGGGUAGUGGAAUUCCUGGUGUAGCGGUGAAAUGCAUAGAUAUGACCCGGAACACCGAUUGCGAAGGCAGCCCACUAAGCAACGAUUGACGCUGAGGCACGGAAAGCGAUGGGGGAUCAAACAGG